CCUACGGGAGGCAGCAGUGAGGAAUAUUGGUCAAUGGCCGGAAGGCUGAACCAGCCAAGCCGCGUGAGGGAGGAAGGCGCAGAGCGUCGCAGACUUCUUUUGCCGGGGGACAAAAGGCCGGACUUGUCCGGUCCUGAGGGUACCCGGAGAAAAAGCAUCGGCUAACUCCGUGCCAGCAGCCGCGGUAAUACGGAGGAUGCGAGCGUUAUCCGGAUUCAUUGGGUUUAAAGGGUGCGAAGGCGGGCCUUUAAGCCGGCGGUGAAAUCGCGGGGCUAAACCCCGCCGAGCCGUGGGAACUGGGGGGCUUGAGUGCGGCGGAGGCAUGCGGAAUGCGCGGGGUAGCGGUGAAAUGCGUAGAUA
rnacentral:rRNA from 1 species